rnacentral:rRNA from 1 species
GAUGAACGCUGACAGAAUGCUUAACACAUGCAAGUCAACUUGAACUUCGGUUUGGGUGGCGGACGGGUGAGUAACGCGUAAAGAACUUGCCUCACAGAUAGGGACAACAUUUGGAAACGAAUGCUAAUACCUGAUAUUAUGAUUAUAUGGCAUCGUAUAAUUAUGAAAGCUAUAUGCGCUGUGAGAGAGCUUUGCGUCCCAUUAGCUAGUUGGAGAGGUAACGGCUCACCAAGGCGAUGAUGGGUAGCCGGCCUGAGGGGGUGAUCGGCCACAAGGGGACUGAGACACGGCCCUUACUCCUACGGGAGGCAGCAGUGGGGAAUAUUGGACAAUGGACCAAGAGUCUGAUCCAGCAAUUCUGUGUGCACGAUGAAGUUUUUCGGAAUGUAAAGUGCUUUCAGUUGGGAAGAAAAAAAUGACGGUACCAACAGAAGAAGUGACGGCUAAAUACGUG